rnacentral:sRNA from 1 species
CUGAACUAGAAUUAGGAUCCUUAAACAACAACUUCAGACUGGAACAAACAACAACAACAAAAAACCAACAAUAUGAUCACUGAGCGCUCUAAUGCGGUCAGGUCAGCAGAGGCGGAGGCCCGGGCUGUGGAUGGCCGAGGAGCCGAACUCAUGAAGCCACGUUCCUUCUGCUGCUCUUAACCCAGGCGCGGCGGCUUGCCGACCCGCUCCGCUUACUCCGAAACCGCUUUCAUCUGAGUGGCACAGUAACUGAGCUGGCCACUGCCUCUGAACCAGCAGUGACUUACAAAGUUGCAAUCAGUUUUGAUCGAUGCAAAAUCACCUCAGUGACAUGUGGCUGUGGGAACAAGGACAUAUUCUACUGUGCCCAUGUGGUAGCGCUCUCACU